rnacentral:rRNA from 1 species
AGGGAAUCUUCCGCAAUGGACGAAAGUCUGACGGAGCAACGCCGCGUGAGUGAAGAAGGCCUUCGGGUCGUAAAACUCUGUUGCCGGGGAAGAACAAGUGCCGUUCGAACAGGGCGGCGCCUUGACGGUACCCGGCCAGAAAGCCACGGCUAACUACGUGCCAGCAGCCGCGGUAAUACGUAGGUGGCAAGCGUUGUCCGGAAUUAUUGGGCGUAAAGCGCGCGCAGGCGGCUUCGUAAGUCGGAUGUGAAAUCUUGCGGCUCAACCGCAAGCGGUCAUUGGAAACUGGGAGGCUUGAGUGCAGAAGAGGAGAGUGGAAUUCCACGUGUAGCGGUGAAAUGCGUAGAGAUGUGGAGGAACACCAGUGGCGAAGGCGACUCUCUGGGCUGUAACUGACGCUGAGGCGCGGAAGCGUGGGGAGCAAAC